GGACUGGAGCAGACGUCAGCCUCAGAGAGACAGCAGCCUUUACUGGGCUAUGACUAGUUAGCAGAAAUGAAUUCUACACAGAAAUAAAGCUAACCCAACCAUUUUAGUUGGGUAGCAGCUGAUGUUUAUCUGUUUGAAAUUGAUACAGUGUUUGCCCUCCUCCCUUAGGGAUUGUGGAUGCAUAGAGCUCCAUGACAGAGCGCUCUGAGCAGUUCUUCAGUGAUCUGCACACUUCGACAGGUCAACAAGCAGAUGAUCUGAAGAGGACCUCUCACCCCCAUCACUGUCAAUAAAGAAGGAAAACCCCCAGCACACCAUGGGCAUUCACCAAGUGAUCAGCAGCCGACUGUUCCCAACCAUGUUGGAUUUGUAUUUAUUAAGGAUCCCCAUUAGCUGCUGCCAAGGCAACAGCUACUCUUCCUGGGGUCCAAAAUAUUAACGCAUUUACAUCACAUAUAAAACAAAAGAUAAAACAGUACAUCAUGUAACAUUAUUACACCACUACAUAUCUACAAUACAAAAUGUUUAAUACCACCAUACAACAAUAUCGAAAUGUAUGUGUAUGCAUUUGUCUGUAUCUUUGUGUGUGUCUCUUCACAGUCCCCGUUGUUCCAUAAGGUUACCUGCUUUUUAAAUCUGAUUCUACUGCUUGCAUCAGUUACCUGAUGUGGAAUAGAGUUCCAUGUAGUCAUGGCUCUGUGUAGUACUGUGUGACUUAGGGACUGUGAAGAGACCUCUGGUGGCAUGUCUUGUGGGGUAUGCAUGGGUGUCUGUGUGCAAGUAUUUUAAACAGACAGCUCGGUACAUUCAGCUUGUCAACACCUCUUACAAAAUCAAGUAGUGAUGAAGUCAAUCUCUCCUCCACUUCGAGCCAUGAGAGAUUGACAUGCAUGUCAUUAAUGUUAGCUCUCCGUGUACUUUUAAGGGCCAGCCGUGCUGCCCUGUUCUGAGCCAACUGCAAUUUUCCUAAGUCCCUCUUUGUGGCACCUGACCACACUACUGAACAGUAGUCUAGGUGUGACAAAAAUAGGGCCUUAGGACCUGACUUGUUGAUAGUGCUUUUAAGAAGGCAGAGCAGCGCUUUAUUAUGGACAGACUUCUCCCCAUUUUAGCUACUGUUGUAUCAAUAUGUUUUGACCAGUUUACAAUCCAGGGUUACUCCAAGC
rnacentral:lncRNA from 1 species